rnacentral:rRNA from 1 species
GUGGGGAAUAUUGGACAAUGGGCGCAAGCCUGAUCCAGCCAUGCCGCGUGAGUGAUGAAGGCCUUAGGGUUGUAAAGCUCUUUCAGUGGGGACGAUAAUGACGGUACCCACAGAAGAAGCCCCGGCUAACUUCGUGCCAGCAGCCGCGGUAAUACGAAGGGGGCUAGCGUUGUUCGGAUUUACUGGGCGUAAAGCGCACGUAGGCGGAUCGUUAAGUCGGGGGUGAAAUCCUGGAGCUCGACUCCAGAACUGCCUUCGAUACUGGCGAUCUUGAGUCCGGAAGAGGUGAGUGGAACUCCUAGUGUAGAGGUGGAAUUCGUAGAUAUUAGGAAGAACACCAGUGGCGAAGGCGGCUCACUGGUCCGGUACUGACGCUGAGGUGCGAAAGCGUGGGGAGCAAACAGGAUUAGAAACCCGGGUAGUCC